rnacentral:rRNA from 1 species
GGGAUUUUUCCGGCCACGCAUAACUGCUACUUCAUGGGGGUACAAUACCUCUCCUCGAGUACGGCCGACUCACGCGGUGUGUAACGUACCGUUUUGGUUCGGAACCGCACAAGGAAACUUGUGCUAGUGCCGGAUCCAGCCCUUCCAGGGAAUGAUUUUUCGCCGAAAGAUCGGUGCCGAGUCUGAUUAGAUCUGUGGCGAGGUUAUGACUCACCCUGGCGAUUAUCACUUCCUGGCCUGAUAGGAUGAUCAUUCACAUUGGGACUGAGACACGGCCCAAACUCCUACGGGAGGUUGACGUGGUCAAUAUUGUACUAUGGGGGCAACCCUGAUCCACUCCUGCCACGGGAGUGAUGAAUGCCCUAGGCUUGUGAAGCUCUUUUGUCCCGUAUGAUAAUGUCGGCCCCGCUCGAAUAAGCCCCGGCUAACUUCGUGCCUGCAGCCGCUGUAUUACGAGUGCGGCUAGAGUUGCUCGUAAUCACUGACCCGUAAAGGGCGUGUACGCGGCUUUUUAAGUCCUGCGCGAUAUCCUGAAUCUCAACUCCUGAUCUGCCUUUUAUACUGAACAUCUUGAAUUCCUUAGAGGUGAAUGCAACUGCCAGUGUUCACCUGACAUUAUGAUAUAUUCGCAAGAACACCCGCGACGAAGGCGGCUCACUGGCCGGUGACUGACGCUGAUGCACGAAAGCACGACCAGCAUAUCGGAUUAUAUACGCUCCCAAUCCUCUCCGUACACAAUGAAUGCCACCCGCUAGUGAGUUACUCCUAACGGGCAUCU